rnacentral:rRNA from 1 species
UACGUAGGGUGCAAGCGUUAAUCGGAAUUACUGGGCGUAAAGCGUGCGCAGGCGGUUUUGUAAGUCUGUCGUGAAAUCCCCGGGCUCAACCUGGGAAUUGCGAUGGAGACUGCAAGGCUAGAAUCUGGCAGAGGGGGGGUAGAAUUCCACGUGUAGCAGUGAAAUGCGUAGAGAUGUGGAGGAACACCGAUGGCGAAGGCAGCCCCCUGGGUCAAGAUUGACGCUCAUGCACGAA